rnacentral:SRP_RNA from 1 species
CGGGGAGCUAGCGGUUCCUUGUAACCUGAAAUCCGCUUUACGCAGGGUUGAACGCUCCCAGGAGGUUUACCGGACUCAUGGUACUGUCUUUAAAAGCGGCGAUGAAGGCUGGGUCUUAUGCAAUAAGGGGAUGUGAACCUGGUCAGGGGCGGAAGCCAGCAGCCAUAAGCAUCUAUUCUUAUGUGCCGUAAGGUAGCCUGGCUGGAGCCAGCUUUUAGUGAUGGGCCCUGGGAAAGGGAAUCAAAGGGAGUGCACGG